rnacentral:rRNA from 1 species
GUGCACGCUGGCGGUAGGCCUAACACCUGCAAGUCGCACGGCAGCACAGUAAGAGCUUGCUCUUACGGGUGGCGAGUGGCGGACGGGUGAGGAAUACAUCGGAAUCUACUUUUUCGUGGGGGAUAACGUAGGGAAACUUACGCUAAUACCGCAUACGACCUACGGGUGAAAGCAGGGGAUCUUCGGACCUUGCGCGAUUGAAUGAGCCGAUGUCGGAUUAGCUAGUUGGCGGGGUAAAGGCCCACCAAGGCGACGAUCCGUAGCUGGUCUGAGAGGAUGAUCAGCCACACUGGAACUGAGACACGGUCCAGACUCCUACGGGAGGCAGCAGUGGGGAAUAUUGGACAAUGGGCGCAAGCCUGAUCCAGCCAUACCGCGUGGGUGAAGAAGGCCUUCGGGUUGUAAAGCCCUUUUGUUGGGAAAGAAAAGCAGCAGGUUAAUACCCCGCUGUUCUGACGGUACCCAAAGAAUAAGCACCGGCUAACUUCGUG